rnacentral:lncRNA from 1 species
UGCCCAGCUUUGGGCCCUGUAGCCUCAGGCCUCCCCUCAGGCCACCUGCUCCCUGUGGCUGCUUCUGCCUCCCCCCAAAAAUCCAGUCUGUGCUGGCUGAAGGCGCACAGGUGUCACCAUGGCCCAGGCAGCUGGAAGACGCUCUCAAGGGCAGGGGAGCAAGCCCAGGUGCAGCUGGGUGGGCACCUGCCGUCCACAGGGCCCCCCCACCGGCAGUGUCCGGAUCACACGAAGACGGCUUACAGACCAGCAAGGAAACGCCGAACCCGGAGGACAAGAGGGCAAGGACUUGAACUAACACGGAGGAGCACGUGCGGAUGCCACCUCAACCGGGGACGCGCGCCGUCGGCAGUGUGCUGGGGACACCAGGGUGUGCUGGCCAGAUGCUCACAGCCGCUGUACCUCCCCGCACAACUGGAGGCCCGUGGAAUGCACGGCCACCGUGGAAAACUCCAGACACGCCUCCGUCAUCACCCAGAAACCCCACUCUCAGCAGAAACACACAGACACUAAGCAAAAGACACACAAAGGCCUUCCUGGGAGCCCAGACUGGACACAGCCCACAUUCCCAUCAGCAGGGCAGUGGGCGACAGGCCACGGGCCACGGAUGGCGUGUCCCUUCAGGGGGUGCUCACCACACACGCCAGGGAUGAUCUCGCACGCGGGCUGCAGGGCAGGAGGAGGUCGGCAUGAUGCUGUCUACGUGAAUCUCAAGGGCAGGCAGGACUCACCCUGGGGCGCACACCAGCACAGACGGCAGUCCCUGUGCAGCAGAGACGGCUUCCGGGGCUUGGAACGGCCACGCUUCGACGCGAAGGGCUCCUGGGCCUGCCCGUGCUCGGAGCUCACCCGGCAAAGAUUUAAGAUGUGUGCCGCUCCCUGGGUGCCAGCUGCACCUCACUCAGAGGAAAUAAGAGUGGCUCAGAGCAUGUGCUGCACAGUAGACUCGGUGCAUCCUGACCUUGACACUGAGUCCGCCCUCCUGCUGCCCCGCCACCGUUCCCCAAGCUGCCUCCUGCACGUCCCCGCAUCCCUCAUCUUGCAGGCAGUGGGACAGCUGGGCUGUUUCUGUCACAUUCUCUGUGAAGAAGAGUCCAGGCCAGCAAAUAUUUAUCACCAAGUGUCUGGCCAGUGCGGUCCCCAGACACAGCUGUCUCCGUCCCAAGGCCUGGACUUUACACGUGGAAUUCCCUGUGUUGGUCCCCAGACAGCAGUGGUGCCACCUGGCAGGGGUUUGGCCUGUGGAGGGCUGUGCCCCUGAGGCCCACGGGAAAGCUCGUGGACUUGCUAGGGGGCAGGGCUAACAUCAGCGCCCAUGUGUGGAUCCCCCUGCAGCCGAGUCCCAAGCAGGAUCGUCACCCUCACAUUCCUCUCCGGUGGAAUGCUGCUGAGAGGUCCUUUAAGCAUAUGGCCUCAAGUAAUCGUGGAAAGAGAAGGCAGCGGCAUCGGUGGGCACAGGAAGGAUCCAUGCCACUUUGGGGAGUUCCAGAAGCCUUAGGACAUUCCUUGUCCCAUGGAUGACUGGAAGGACCCUUCCCAGAUGGGAACCCCCCGCCCGCCCCAGCCAUGCCCAGCACUGAGGGGUGAACCCUGGAAGCACCCAUGGGUCAGCCCCGGAGCCGCGCAGGUCCUCCUAGGAAGGGGUAACUGUGCCCCAGACUCAGGAGGGGCCAUCCUGUCUUCCUGCAGGCCUUGGAGGCCACUGUCCCUGAUGGGGUUGUGCAAGUGUGGGGGGCAUGAGAGGGGGCCCCUUCAUCAGCUCAGCGCCCACCCUAGGCCUGCUUCAUGCCAGGCACACACUGCGCUGCAGGCACGAAGCGGGGAUGGGGUCCCUGAGGCGGGGCUCUGCCUACUCACAGACCCUUGUGGAGGCCCCGCCACCCAGCCUCUCUGCCUUGUGCCCCGGGCCCACGGCAACGCAGCCCCCAUUCCAGAGAGCCAGACCCUCCAGCUGUCAAGGGAACAGCAGGGAAAACAGGGACGGUGUGGGGGGACACUGUCCUUGGGAACUUUCCCUGCCCCCACCGCCUGCCCUUGCGCAUGGGCCUCCCUAGAAACGUGUCACCCCAACCCUUGAGAAACCAGAACCCCCGGCAGGGCUGUGCAAGGCGGGGCGGGAUUUGGUGGUGUCAGGAUCUCACCAGCAUCUGGGCAGUGGGGGGAUGAAAAUUCUGGCUGCCCGGCACAGCCCCCGCCACUGCGCUUGACACCUCAAGGGGCUUGGGUUCUCAACAGCAGCUCAGAUA